CGGAGUGUAGCGCAGAUGGCUAGCGCAUCUGUUUUGGGAACAGAAGGUCGUGUGUUCGAGUCACAUCUCUCCGA
rnacentral:tRNA from 1 species